rnacentral:lncRNA from 1 species
ACUCCUACUAAAGUGGAGGUGCCUACUACUAUGUGCAGCCCGUUGACGACGACCAGGAGUAGUUUAGGAGGAUCCCAGGCAGGAGGCCUGCGCCUCUUUCGAUCUGUAUCUUAGUUUAUGCUAGCCUUCUUAAGGCAAACUUGUUUAACUUAUGUCUGUACUCAGAUAUUGUUGCUUCCGCUGACUCGUCUAUGAUCGAGCUCUUGUAUUCGAGCCCUCGAGGCCCCUGGCUUGUAAUAUGAUGCUUGUAUGACUUAUUUUAUUUGUAGAGUUGUGUUGUGAUAUCUUCCCGUGAGUCCCUGAUCUUGAUCGUACACGUUUGCGUGUAUGGUUAGUGUAUGGUCGAAUCGGGGGCGUUACAAGUUGGUAUCAGAGCCGACUGCCUGUAGGAAUCCGCCUUCCACACUCCUUGGCCGAAGUCGAGUCUAGACAUUACAAAACUUUUUACUAACAUGGUUGUGUGCCUUACGGACCCACGUCGCCAUCUGGGUGGUAUUAGGAUCUUUUACUCCUCGUCUAUACUCUGGGAAUCUGAUCUCUCUUCUAUUUGGGUUAAAUGAUUUUACUAAAUCUGACUCUAGGUUCUCGUAACUGCUUCUCCCAGAGAGCCCCUUAUCAUAGAUGAUCGCCUACUGCACCCGAAGAUUUUGAAGAUACUCUUUGAUCAUUCCCGAGACCCUUGUGCCAUCUGCCUUUUCAAUUCCCUACUACUGAUAUAUCCAUAUGGAUAACGACAUACACUUGUUGUUCAUACAAUUACUCUGAGUUUCUCUUGUUAUUACAAGAUGCAUCGGAUUGCCUCUGACUUUUAAGAAUCCCUUGUACCACUGCCUUGUAGUUCCUUACCGUAGAGAUGCCCCUACGGAUAAUUCCUCGGACUUAUCGAGUAUCCACUCAUUCCCAGUUGUUCUUGUGCUCCACAAAGACUUUGAAAUACUAUUUGAUCUUUCGAAAAUCCUCAACAGCUUAUUGCUCUUGAAAUUCUUGCUUACUUGCAUUAUGAUUUACCUCAUAAGUCCGGUAAUCUUAUUGGCAUCCUUAGUCAUUAUCAGUUUGAGUCUAUUGAAUCAAUAUGUUGUGAAUACUCGCAAUCCUUAAUUAGAUCCUUCAUUUCGUCCUUCCGACUCAGAUGUCAUUUUAAAUAUGAGCUGGAUCUCGACCAAUCAAAUUUUGCCAUCGAUUGUGCCCCUAAGGCUAUUCAACUUAUCCAUCCCUAAUCAAAGCAUUGCUUCUGAUCCCUUGUCUUGGAAUUGAUAAUUCCUUUGCAUUUGAACUUUGAGUUAGUCAGUUGUUUCCAUAAACUGAUCUCCUUGCAUUCCUUCUUCCUCUGGUUGAGUACCGAUGCUCACAUCAGACCCCUUCUGGAACACCAGAUCCUUUGUUGGAUUUAUCCGACAUCGUCCUUCAUAUUCUAUAAGCUUGUGAGCCUUUCCUCGGAUACAUAAUGCCUUUGGUAAAUUGUAUCCUCUGCUUUUCUCCAGCAUGCUCUACUAUAGAGCUUGUGUUAUUUAUUCCUGAAAUUGUGGUAUAUGCUCCUAAGAUGCCUCGAUGGGUUGAACCUAUGCCUUCCAUAGUAUGUGUGAACGCGAAAGUUUUCACGAGUCAUACUCGUCUGGUAUUUUGCCAGAUAAUUCAACAGUACAACUUCUUCGAAAAAGAGAAGUGAAUAAAAGGUUAUACACUGAAGAAGUGGGAGUCAGCCUUGAACUUGUGUUCAUGCCCAUGGACACGAUGUAUAUCCUAUCAUGGAAGCUUCUUGUAAUAAUAACUAUCCCCUUGAUAUAAUAUCAUUUGGAAUCUGUGAAUUGAUCCUUGCAAUCGUGGUUCCGGCCAUAUGUUCUUAUUUGAUCCCAUUUCUCGGGCAAGUUUAAGCACUUGUCUUGUGUGGACCAAUACACCAGUCCAACCUUUACUUUGAUCUACCUUCGAGUAUUACACCCUGGUAUCUCGGGAAUAUCAUGGGACAUCAUAACUUCUUAUGGGUUCUUCAUCAACUAUUAUCACUCACCAGAUCCAAUUGUUCCUAGGUUCUGGGUUGUCGUCAACCGAGAACACCGAAUAGUGAAUCGAGUCCACACUCUGAUUCAAUAACCCUAAAUAAUUUUCGUUGCUUAUGAGUUUAAUAAUCCUUCAAGUCAUUCCUUGCUUGAUCGGCUAUAUCCUUAUCGUGCUGCUCUUAACUGUGCUACCUGGUCCUUCUUCCCAGAGCACAAUUUUCGAUGAUGAGCUAAGCUUACGUCGAUUUUGCUCAUCAUAUCAUUUCUCCUUAAACCACAAGCUUGGUUUCGAGUUUGUGCCGUACCCGUGGUUCCAAUAACCUUUCGCUUCAUCAUUCUUUUGACUUGAUGUCAUUGCCAAUGGAUUACAUCUUCAUGAAAUCUCUCAAAAACUGUGUCGUGAUCAUCAUCAAUCUUAUGAGCUCUUCUAGGAUAUCAAUCAAAGUCAUGAUGAGAAAUACCAUCCUUGCCCCUCGAUGAAUUGUGUUAUCAUCGACAACUUUAUUGCCUUCCCUCCAACACAAACUUGUUCGUGUUCUGUGUUAUACCUUGAGUUCCUUGCUAUCCAACAUUUGUUCUUCUUUACCUUGGAGUAUUACCAUCUUUUAUAUCCAGGAUGUCGUGCUUAGCACACCCGGCCGGAGGCCCUAUGGUUAUAGAUUCCUUUUCAGCAAGGUUAUCCAUUCUUCCAUGAGGAAAUUGUAAGACUUAUUCUACAAGCUAUUCCUGAUGGAUCCUUUGUGUUUCCAAAGUCUGACCUUUGCCUGAAGACCAUGUCAAUGCUAUCUCGAAGCAUAUAUAUGUUACUCCAAUUUUCAACAAGAACAUUUAAAGCCUAAUGUUAAAUGUUUCCUUCUCAAUUAUCCAAACACUGCUGUAUGGGUAAUGUCCUGAAAUUUCUCUCCCCUUACCUAAAGAGUUUUCUACAUUAUAUCCUGUCAUGGAUAUCGUAAUCUGCUUUUCCUUGGGAAGGAUAUACCCUUGAAAUGUGUUUAAACACAUUUUCCUUUCCAUUGUUCUAAUUAAUCUGAUAAUCAUAUUUUUCUCUCCAUUGUUUGGUUUAACCUUUCUUGUGAUCUAUAUUAUGUAAGCAGUAAUAUUCCCUUGCUUAUGUUAACACCUCGUUGUACCACUCUGCCAGUAAGACCCUGUUACUUUGGUUGAUGACAUUCCGGUAACCACCGGUGGACGAGAACUUUGCCUAUUGGUCCGCCUCGUUUCAACGAGCAGGAAAAUGGUUCUCUUCGUCCCUCGCCCUUGGUACCGACAUUGUUGCUGACACAUACUGACAGGCUACCCUCUGACAUGCUUUACUAUCAUGACCAUGCAAGAUGUCACCGCCCUUCCUACUUUAACCCACAUGGUGGGCCCAUAACCCACAAGUUCCACAGGAUCGAAACCUGACUCUCCUGUACACCCUGAUUCAAAGUUAUCCCUUGCACUUGGUUUCGUGUGUAAUUCGUGAGCCACCUUCCGAGUGAUCUAUUCUGGCAUCACACACAAUACUUGGUCCCAUUGCUAUGAAACCUUUCACACUCUGUUUCACGCAAUGAACGAUUGCCUAUCCGCCCAAAACUUUUCAUGAUACAUUCUUACUUUGCUCUCGAUAUUUUCUAAGGUUUCAAUUCGAGAGUUACUUUCCCCCACCUUCCCCGAUGUUAUCUUCGAGAUAGCCAACCUUGCAGAGGUCUGUUCUCUUGGAAUGCCCACCCUUUAUUCUUCGUAAGUACAAUGGAGUUCCCGAAUAAAGGAUGUCGACUUCAUCAUGAUGACCUGAAGCAGAGAAAUGAAGACAUCAAUGUAAUGGAUCGGCCUCUUCGAGAAGAGCAAGCCAGAAUGAGAAGACCCGCUAGAUUCGUUACCAAACCUUCCCCACUUUCACUACCUCUAAAAUCUCGGGACGAGAUUUCUUGUAGUAGAGGAGAUUUGUGACGCCCGGAUAAUUAAGCUACAGUAACCUCACCCUAGUGUGCCUUGGCAGUUAUGUUUUGAAGCCAUUUUGCCACUUAAUGAAAACCGAGUAAAAUUCAAAGUUCAAAUAAUAAGUCAAAUUCUUAUUUCUUCAAACUGUCAAUUAAAAAUGUUCAAUGAGUUAAAAAAUCACUAAGUAAUUAUCAUAUGGAAACCAACAUCAUUUGACUCUCCAAUUAAUCCCUAGGACUUAUAAAGUGAACCGGCAACAUUAAAAUCAAGCCAAUUCAAUUUAAAACGAAAAGUUAUAUGUUUCUAAAUAAGCGAGACUUGGUGGACUAGCUCAAAACACUGUCUACUAUUUAUGUGAAAGGUUUCAUUUGUUACAAAAAUCGUUUGGUCUUUAAAUAAAUUGCAAAGCAGAGAGAAAAUAAGAGAGACAGGAAGGACACUAUUGAAAACAAAACAUAGGGGAGGGCCCAUGUGGACGGGAAGAGGCCCAUCCCACACUCCCAAUCGUCUCCUUCCUUGCUACAGGAGAGGCAGGGGGUCGUGGCAGGCAUCUAGCCGCCAUGGCCUCGCCCUGGCCACGUGCCGAUCAUCCCCGAGCCCCCUGCUGGUUAAAACAACGCUCACGGCCCCUUUGAAACCCUGGAUCCAUUCCCCUCCUUUUCCUCGCACCGCCGUCUUCUUCCCACGCUCGGCCGAACCAUCGUCAUCAUGGCCGCCUCCGUUCCCGCGCUCUCCAUCAUCCCCGCACCCUGAAAACUUGUCCGUGAGCUCUGUCGUCGUCCGCCUUGUCGUCUUCACCCACUGGUUCCAGCCGGGAGCCCCUACAUCGAGUCCUGCUACGUCGUCUUCUUCCUUGGAUGCCGCUGGUCAUCGCCGUUCGAUUCGCCUCCACCGAGCCUCCCUCAAGCCCACUGACCCGCUCGUCGACCCCGCUGUGAGCCUCUGCUCCUUUCCCCGCUCUCUAAUUCCUCGCACACGCCCUGAGCACUGGCUUCCUUCAUAGCCGAAGUUUUGUUUCACGUCGUUGUUGCUUUUGUCGUUCGGUAGUUAGGCCCAGAACAAACCGGUCGUCGUCGCAUUCCGGCCGUGCCCUUCACGUCGCCCUCGCGCCCACGUCCGCUCCCGGCCGCGCGCCCCGCUUGCGCUGGCUGCGCCCGGCUCACCGACUGCUGCCUCUGCCUUCGGUCGUGGCCGUUGCCAACGACCCAGUGCACCCCCCACGAUGCCCGUCACCGUCGACCGACGCGCGCGACCGCGUCCAGCAGUAGCUCCUCGCGGACCAGAUGUCCGUUGGGAGACCAAACUGGAGGCCCCGUUGUGCUUCUGCCAGCGCCGACGAGCCCCUGCUUGGGUCGUCGUGGUCCUCGCCACACGGCCGCUCGCUCCCGACCACCGGCCACGCGUGCUUCCACAGCCGCCCGCCCGCGCGAGACCGUCCCUCCCGCGCUGCCUGCUGACCGCUGUGCACCCGCCUCCGGCUUGUCAUGCGCUUGGACCGCUGCCCCGUGUUGUGGCCUCGCGCUCGCCUUCGUGCCCUCCCCCGCUUGCCCCCGUCGCCGCUGCCACUACCGCUGCCCGCCGGCCCGCGCCCGCCGCUGCCCUCCCGCCGGCGUUCCCCUCCGGAGAGCGACCGCGCCUUGCCGCCGGCCAGUGCCCAGCGGCCCCCUCCGCUGCAGCCUGGGGCCGCACCGUGCUCCCCUCUGCGUGUUGUGCGCCGGCUACCGACGCCUGCGUGCGUUCGUGCGUGCCCAAGCACAACCUUGGCCUCUAUCGGCCUGGGUCACUGCCCAGUGGGGCCGGCCCCUUAAAAAGAGUAAAUAAAAUAAAUAUUAGUGAAAUAACAAAUUAGUUUAGUUAAUUAAUUAUUUAUUUAGGCUAAUUAGUCUAACUACCCUAUGACAGUGGUCCCCUCACUUAAAUACCCUGUUAAAAUAAAUGAUAAGUCAUUGUGUCAAUGACAUGUAGGCCCCGCUGACCCUUUUGACCAGUCAAUGUUGACUGGUCAACUGCUGAGUGUGCAUGCUGACUGCCCCCUGACCCAAUGUCAUACACUCUGGCUAUUUUAGCACUAGGUGACAAAACUUUAUUCUGCUUAUUAUUCGAAUUAAACAAUUUUAGAAAUUCUAGAAAAUCAUUAGAACUUUGAAAAAUCAUAUAAAUUAAUCCGUAACUCGGAUGAAAAUACUUUGUACAUGAAAGUUGCUCAGAACGACGAGACAAAUCCAGAUACGCAGCCCGUUCGUCCGCCACGCAUCCCUAGCAUGGCGAACACACUACUUUCCUCCUCCGAUUCAUCUGUCCAAAAAGGCGAAACACCCGGGAUAUUUUUCCGGAUGUUUCCCCCCUUCACCGGUACAACCUCAUACCGCGUUAGGGCACCCCUAACACCGAUACUUGUCAUGUCAUGCAUCGCUAUGCAUAUGUUUGCUUAAUAUUUAUGGUUUCGUCCCCCUCUUCUCUCGCUAGACACCGAGACCGAUGCCGCUGCUACCCAAUACGACUACGGUGUUGACGACCCCUCUCUCUUGCCAGAGCAACCAGGCAAGCCCCCUCCCCCUUGAUCACCAGAUAUCGCCUAUUCUUCUCUACUGCUUGCAUUAGAGUAGUGUAGCUUGUUACUGCUUUCGAUUAAUCCUAUUCUGCUGCAUAGCCUGUUUUUGUUGCUACAGUUGUUACCCUUACCUGCUAUCCUACUGCUUAGUAUAGGAUGCUAGUGUUCCAUCAGUGGCCCUACACUCUUGUCCGUCUGCCAUGCUAUACUACUGGGCCGUGAUCACUUCGGGAGGUGAUCAUGGGCAUAUACUGUAUACUUUACACUGUUACAUUACCUGUGAUACUGUUCGGAGAUGGGGGCUGAAGGGGCAGGUGGCUCCAUCCCGGUAGAGGUGGGCCUGGGUUCCCGACGGCCCCCGACUGUUACUUUGUGGCGGAGAAACAGGGCAGGUUGAGACCACCUAGGAGAGAGGUGGUCAUGGCCCUGGUCAGCGUUCGCGGAUACUUAACACGCUUAAUGAGAUCUUGGUAUUUGAUCUGAGUCUGGCUACUGGCCUGUACGCACUAACCAUCUACGCGGGGACAGUUAUGGGCACUCGACGUCGUGGUAUCAGCCGAAGCCUUCGUGACGUCAGCGACUGAGCGGCGCGCGCUGGGUUGGACCGCGUAACGCAACUUCCUUUGUAAUGGAGGUUGCUAGGUCUGCUCUCCGGCCGCCCUCGCAACGUGCAGGUGUGCAAUGGGCAAUGGGCCCAGACCCCUGCGCCAUAGGAUUUAGACCGGUGUGCUGACCUCUCUGUUGUGCCUAGGUGGGGCUGCGACAUGUUGAUCUUCCGAGGCCGGGCAUGACCCAGAAAAGUGUGUCCGGACAAAGGGGAUCAAGCGUGUUGGGAAAUGUGGUGCACCCCUGCAGGGAAGUUAAACUAUUCGAAUAGUUGUGUUCUUCGGUAACAUGACGACUUGGAGUUGUACCUUGACCUUAUGACAACUAGAACCGGAUACUUAAUAAAACACAUCCUUCCAAGUGCCAGAUACAACCGGUGAUCGCUCUCUCACAGGGCGACGAGGGGAGGAUCAUCGGUUAGGAUUAUGCUAUGUGAUGAUACUUGGUGAACUUACCUUCUACUCUCUUCUUCUGCUGCAAGAUGGAGGUUACCAGAAGCGUAGUCUUCGAUAGGACUAGCUAUCCCACUCUUAUUCUGGCAUUCUGCAGUUCAGUCCACAUAUAUUACCCCCUUUUCCAUUUGAUACCAAUGCAUACUUAUGUAGUGUAGCUCCUUGCUUGCGAGUACUUUGGAUGAGUACUCACGGUUGCUUUGCUCCCCCUUUUCCCCCUUUUCUAUACCCGAUUGCUGCGACCAGACGAUGGAGCCCAGGAGCCAGACACCACCGUCGGCGAUGACUCCUACUAAAGUGGAGGUGCCUACUACUAUGUGCAGCCCGUUGACGACGACCAGGAGUAGUUUAGGAGGAUCCCAGGCAGGAGGCCUGCGCCUCUUUCGAUCUGUAUCUUAGUUUGUGCUAGCCUUCUUAAGGCAAACUUGUUUAACUUAUGUCUGUACUCAGAUAUUGUUGCUUUCACUGACUCGUCUAUGAUCGAGCUCUUGUAUUCGAGCCCUCGAGGCCCCUGGCUUGUAAUAUGAUGCUUGUAUGACUUAUUUUAUUUGUAGAGUUGUGUUGUGAUA